GUGCAGCAGGCGAGAAUUUUUCUCAAUGGGGGAAACCCUGAAGGAGCGACGCCGCGUGGAGGAUGAAGGCUUUCGGGUUGUAAACUCCUGUCAUUUGAGAACAAGUGGCCGAACGUAACUACUUCGGCCUUGAUAGUAUCAGAAGAGGAAGGGACGGCUAACUCUGUGCCAGCAGCCGCGGUAAUACAGAGGUCUCAAGCGUUGUUCGGAUUCAUUGGGCGUAAAGGGUGCGUAGGUGGCGCCGUAAGUCGGGUGUGAAAUUUCGGAGCUUAACUCCGAAACUGCAUUCGAUACUGCGGUGCUUGAGGGCUGGAGAGGAGACUGGAAUUUACGGUGUAGCAGUGAAAUGCGUAGAGAUCGUAAGGAAGACCAGUGGCGAAGGCGGGUCUCUGGACAGUUCCUGACACUGAGGCACGAAGGCCAGGGGAGCAAACGGGAUUAGAUACCCGGGUAGU
rnacentral:rRNA from 1 species